rnacentral:rRNA from 1 species
AGAGUUUGAUCCUGGCUCAGGACGAACGCUGGCGGCGGGCUUAACACAUGCAAGUCGAACGAGAAGCCACCUUCGGGUGGUGGACAGUGGCGCACGGGUGCGUAACGCGUAGGCAACCUGCCUUCAACUGGGGGAUAACCAUCGGAAACGGUGGCUAAUACCGCAUAACGUCUCGGUGAGGCAUCUCACUGAGAUCAAAGCUCUGGCGGUUGAAGAUGGGCCUGCGUUGGAUUAGCUGGUUGGUGAGGUAACGGCUCACCAAGGCUACGAUCCAUAGCUGGUCUGAGAGGAUGAUCAGCCACACUGGCACUGAGACACGGGCCAGACUCCUACGGGAGGCAGCAGUGAGGAAUAUUGGGCAAUGGGGGAAACCCUGACCCAGCCACGCCGCGUGAAGGAAGACACCCCUACGGGGCGUAAACUUCUUUUGUGUGGGAAGAACCCUCGGGUCGCCCGAGCUGACGGUACCACACGAAUAAGCACCGGCUAACUCCGUGCCAGCAGCCGCGGUAAUACGGAGGGUGCAAGCGUUGUCCGGAAUCACUGGGUGUAAAGGGUGUGUAGGUGGGACUGUAAGUCAGAGGUGAAAGCCCACGGCUCAACCGUGGAAUUGCCUUUGAUACUGCAGUUCUUGAGUCCCGG